rnacentral:rRNA from 1 species
UACGGAGGGUGCGAGCGUUGUCCGGAAUCAUUGGGCGUAAAGGGCGCGUAGGUGGCCCGGUCAGUUCGUGGUGAAAGCGCGGGGCUCAACCCUGCGUCGGCCAUGAAUACUGCCGCGGCUGGAGCACUGUAGAGGCAGGCGGAAUUCCGGGUGUAGCGGUGGAAUGCGUAGAGAUCCGGAAGAACACCGGUGGCGAAGGCGGCGAUUCUGGACUGCAACUGACACUGAUGAACGAAAGCCAAGGGAGCAAACGGG